rnacentral:rRNA from 1 species
UACGUAGGGUGCGAGCGUUAAUCGGAAUUACUGGGCGUAAAGCGUGCGCAGGCGGCUUUGCAAGACAGAUGUGAAAUCCCCGGGCUCAACCUGGGAACUGCAUUUGUGACUGCAUCGCUGGAGUGCGGCAGAGGGGGAUGGAAUUCCGCGUGUAGCAGUGAAAUGCGUAGAUAUGCGGAGGAACACCGAUGGCGAAGGCAAUCCCCUGGGCCUGCACUGACGCUCAUGCACGAAAGCGUGGGGAGCAAACAGG